CCUACGGGAGGCAGCAGUGGGGAAUUUUGGACAAUGGGCGAAAGCCUGAUCCAGCCAUGCCGCGUGCAGGAUGAAGGCCUUCGGGUUGUAAACUGCUUUUGUACGGAACGAAAAGUCUCUUUCUAAUAAAGAGGGAUCAUGACGGUACCGUAAGAAUAAGCACCGGCUAACUACGUGCCAGCAGCCGCGGUAAUACGUAGGGUGCAAGCGUUAAUCGGAAUUACUGGGCGUAAAGCGUGCGCAGGCGGUUAUAUAAGACAGUUGUGAAAUCCCCGGGCUCAACCUGGGAACUGCAUCUGUGACUGUAUAGCUAGAGUACGGUAGAGGGGGAUGGAAUUCCGCGUGUAGCAGUGAAAUGCGUAGAUAUGCGGAGGAGCACCGAUGGCGAAGGCAAUCCCCUGGACCUGUACUGACGCUCAUGCACGAAAGCGUGGGGAGCAAACAGGAUUAGAUACCCUGGUAGUCCACGCCCUAAACGAUGUCAACUGGUUGUUGGGAAUUCACUUUCUCAGUAACGAAGCUAACGCGUGAAGUUGACCGCCUGGGGAGUACGGCCGCAAGGUUGAAACUUAAANGAAAUUGACCGG
rnacentral:rRNA from 1 species